rnacentral:tRNA from 1 species
UCACCAGUGGCGCAAUUGGUUAGCGCACGGUACUUAUGAUGCCGGGGUUGUGAGUUCAAGCCUCACCUGGGGAA